rnacentral:tRNA from 1 species
CGUAGCUCAGUUGGAUAGAGCGUAGGACUCCGACUCCUAAGGCCGCAGGUUCGAUUCCUGUCGGG